rnacentral:rRNA from 1 species
CAGCAGCCGCGGUAAUACGAAGGGGGCUAGCGUUGCUCGGAAUGACUGGGCGUAAAGGGCGCGUAGGCGGCGAUCAAAGUCGGGCGUGAAAUUCCUGGGCUCAACCUGGGGGCUGCGUUUGAUACUUGAUUGCUAGAGUGGGGAAGAGGGUCGUGGAAUUCCCAGUGUAGAGGUGAAAUUCGUAGAUAUUGGGAAGAACACCGGUGUCGAAGGCGGCGACCUGGUCCUUGACUGACGCUGAGGCGCGAAAGCGUGGGGAGCAAACAGGAUUAGAUACCCCCGUAGUCCCUGUCUCUUAUAC